UACGUAGGGUGCAAGCGUUAAUCGGAAUUACUGGGCGUAAAGCGUGCGCAGGCGGUUUUGUAAGUUUGUCGUGAAAGCCCCGGGCUCAACCUGGGAAUUGCGAUGAAGACUGCAAGGCUUGAAUCUGGCAGAGGGGGGUAGAAUUCCACGUGUAGCAGUGAAAUGCGUAGAGAUGUGGAGGAACACCGAUGGCGAAGGCAGCCCCCUGGGUCAAGAUUGACGCUCAUGCACGAAAGCGGUGGGGAGCAAACAGG
rnacentral:rRNA from 1 species